rnacentral:rRNA from 1 species
CCUUUGAUGACGACUGGCGCACGGGUGAGUAACGCGUAUCCAACCUUCCCAUAACUACGGGAUAACCCGUUGAAAGACGGCCUAAUACCGUAUGAUAUCGUUUGCUGACAUCAAAUAACGAUUAAAGGUUUAGCGGUUAUGGAUGGGGAUGCGUCUGAUUAGCUUGUUGGCGGGGUAACGGCCCACCAAGGCUACGAUCAGUAGGGGGUUCUGAGAGGAAGGUCCCCCCACAUUGGAACUGAGACACGGUCCAAACUCCUACGGGAGGCAGCAGUC